rnacentral:ncRNA from 1 species
UGUUGAUGCAACAGUAAUCCAGCUCACUAUGAGAGGGAACCGUGGGAUCAGACAUUAAGUGUGUGUGUGCUUGGCUGAGGAGCCAGUGGUGUGAAGCUCCCAUCCGUGGGAUUAUGACAGAACAGCCCUAAAAGGUGCUUCACUGCUUCUUGUCUGCUUUGAUGACGCUCUUAAACCUACUAUGUAUACUAUAUGCACAGACACAUAUAGAUGAUUUCUGAACUGCUUUUUGCUUGAAAUUUUCACCCAAAGCACACGUAAGUUACAAGGAUUUAAUGAUGGGGCUUGGUUCUGUUCAUAUCAAUAAUUCCUUGCAUUUAUAUAAAAAGUGCUAUAUAUCGAAAGGCGCUUUAUAUACAGGAGAGGACCCAUUUCCACCACUGAACUGAGGCACCUGAGUGGAAGUUAUGC